AGUGGCCGACUGGGGAAGCCACGGCGGCAACACCGUCUUCGAGGGCUGUCGGGAUAGGACGGGAGGCGAACCAGCAGAAGCGCGAGCGAGCGUGUGGGUAACGGCUCACGGCUUCUCUGCACCACCGCCGACCCGAGGAGCACACUUAGGUCUACCUGCAACCUGCAUUUCCUCUCCCUCUCCCUCUCCCUCUCGGCUCCUCUGCAGCACCGCCGGCCACGUCCUCGAGGACCACACUGGAGGUCUGCCUGCAUUUCCUCUACCUCUCCGUCUCGCGCUAAUUAAACCCCCUCCCCGCCCUAAUUUGCCAGCGGUUUUGAGUUCGAGCGCCCCGGCCCCCACGAUGAUUGUUGAUUGGGUUCUGCGUUCAGCUAACUACUCCGUACUAGUAAAUGCUAGGGGUUUCAGAGGCGUCGAUCGAUUCGUUUGCGGAUGCUAUACUAAAUAACAAUUCCGCCAGAGACGAUUUCACGUACAUAUUUGGCAUGUUAAUCUGAUUAUGGUUGUGGAAAUUUCUGUGUAAUAGCAGCUCGCGAAUCGCGAUCCUUGGGAAAAUUUUGCACAAUACAGUAUCAGGUAAACUAGCGUGUGAUACAACACAACCGAAUGACCAGGGAAAGGAAAACGCAGCAAACUGACCAGUCCCCCUACGGUUCGCUGUGUUUAAGCUCUGGGCGGGGUGGUUCUUCUGCUGUGCUGCUGCUGCUGUUCGAGCGUGCCGUGGCAACCUGUCCACUGUACAGGUGCGAGGUGGAUGCGGUCCCCACGUGCUCAAACUCCACUGUGGAUGAGCUGCCUGAGCUCAGCCCCUCGCUGUGCAGCAUCGCCUCGAUCUCCUUCACCACAGAGUUCAUGGUGGGCCGCCGUGAGGCUGAUUCGUCCACACACUCCAUGGCCAGCUGCACGAACCUCCUGAACCCUGCAGUAUGUGCGGCAUCGUGGAUGGCUGGGUCCACGAUGCCUUGCAGGCCGUAGUAGUUGUGGUCAUUGGGGUUUAUGGCCAUCCUGAAUUCCCGGACGAUAUACCUUCCCUUUGAUAUAGGUAGCCUGCCACUCAGUAUCUCUAGCAUGACAACACCGAAGCUGUACACGUCGCUCUUCUCUGAGAGCUGUUGUGUCAUGUAGUACUCUGGGUCCAAAUAGCCCUAUGACAUGAAAUUGACCGUCAAGGACAAGAGUCACUUAACCAAAGGAUUUAUGAUAAUUGAUGAGGUACUGUGACCAAAGAACCUACCAAUGUUCCUUUUACUUGAGUGGAAAUAUGGCCUUUUUCAGUGUCUGCAACUAACUUUGACAGACCAAAAUCAGCAACUUUUGGUUUAAAGUUUCCAUCCAAAAGAAUAUUUGUGGACUUGACAUCUCUGUGUAUAAUAGGUGGAUCGGCGAGCUCAUGAAGAUAUGCUAGUCCUCUUGCUGAUCCUAGAGCAAUCCUGAGCCUCUUCUUCCAAUCCAGGUAAAUUCCUCUAGCUACAACACAAAUAUAUUUCUUAUAUAAUAGGAAAAGGGACAGGGAAGAAUGUAACACUUUAGGAUUUGUUACUAGGUUUUAUGUACAUACCUUGUAAGUUAUGUCUUAAUGUCCCAUUUGAGACGUAUUCAUAGACCAGCAUCUGCUCUCCUUGUUCAUAGCAAAAUCCUAUCAGACUUACCAGGUUCUUGUGGUGGACUCUGGAUAGCAACUCAAUCUCAUUUUUGAACUCUACUGCGCCUUGCUUUGAUCCAUACUCUGCUCGUUUUAUGGCCACAUUUGUUCCACCUACCAGUAUUGCCUUGUAAACCUUUCACAUGUGAAGAUGAAUCACUACAUUAGCUGUCCAUGUAAAACUCCUUAAAAGGAACUCCGAUAAUGCAGAGGCUGUCAGGCUGGGAUAAUGUUUUAUUCUAUAUCAAUUUUGUAUGCAUAACUAUUUACCUUUCCAUAACCUCCUGAUCCUAUUUCAUUGUUCUCUGCAAAAUUGUUGGUGCAAUUCUUCAGUUCAUCAAAAGAAAAGAACCUUGCUCCUUUCAGCUGUGGAGCACCUCCACUAUCUUUUUUAGCGAUUCCCCAUGAAGCUAAAAAUUGAAUAUGCAUGAGGUAAAUAGUCAGUUAAGUUUUUAUCAAACUACAGUACUUUUGAUCUUUUCUAUGCUUUAUUACUGCUUACAUGCAUUUGAUCACUAUAUUUUCGUAGUUAGACACAUUUUCCGUUAUAAUUUUGUAAGCUCUGAAAGGAAGGGUAUUUAAAUAGGAUUUGAAAAUUGGAUGUUGGUUUGGCAUGCUGAGCUAGUUAGUAUACAUAACUGUGUCAAUUCUGUUGUAUAUUUUUAUCAUAUGUCUAAUUAUAGCCUAUCAGGCUACCAUUUAGUUAUUUAACUUGAAUCCUGCUUAAUUACCCUGCUAGGUAAUCUCAUACCAUGAUAAUAUUGAUAUUCUUAUAUGAAGUAAAAUUGUAUUUGUUUUGUACAAUCUAGCUCCAGUAAGCUGUAUUUGUUAUACAUCUGGAAGUCGGUAACAGCUCUAGCAAACCAUUGGUACUCUAUGCUGUUGCAACCAUUCUCAGCAAAUAAAUGGCAUAUAUGUGUCCCAUUUUUACUUCAUCAAUGAGAGGUUAUGUAGACUUUUUAUCCGAUUUUAUUAGUUUUUUUUGGGGGGGGGGGGGUCUUUCUCACUGGUUUCCUAUAGAUGUUUAUAGAUUUACUACAAAACAAAGAACUUUAUUAAAUGGUGCAACCAUGGAAAACACAUUCUGAUAAUUUAAUGUUUUUCUUCUUAAAGAAAUAUUUGGUAGCUAUAAGAGGUAUACAGUUGUCAACUAUAUUAUUUGGAAUCUCACCGAAAGGAUUUGUUUGUCCUGAUAGUUCCCUACUUCUUCUCUUCUGUAAUAAAGCAAAUAUUGCCCCAGAAGUUACAGCAAUCAGAAUAAGACCACAUGCUACUGCAAUUCCAGCGACAGCACCUGUGCUUACUUGCGAUUUUCCACCGUCAUCUGCUCCUGAGACAAGAUAGCCUAAUGUAUUUCAUGCAUAAUUACUUGCAUAUAGACAUAAUUUUACAUGAUUAGAUUUGAUUAUUUUAAUACCUGCAAAGUGGACAUAUGGAUCUGCAACAAAGUAAUAAGGUCCAAAACCUUGUGGUGGCUUGUAAGUUUGAUUGCUAAGAUCAAAGCCUAUCCUCGUUAUUUCCGACAAGUUAAAGGAUGUUCCGGUCGAUGGAAAUAGUCUGACUUGAACUUGGAGGUAAUCAUCACUGGUGAAGUGGAUAUCAGAAAGGAAAACUGAACCAGGUUGCAGUCCCAGUUCUGUUGAGAGGCUAGCUUCCAAUAGCUGAAAGUGCUCAUUGUUUCUCAAGUCUGCAAACAGUGGUGACCUGAAGAAAACCCUACCCAUGUAGGGAUAGGCACAGCCACAAUUUGCAGGGUCUAGACUUUGAUCGCUGGAACAAGAAGUUGAACCACAAUGGGUUACACUAGUAGUGUAUGAUAUUAUGCUAUCUUGCUGGAUACUGCAAAAGUGGCUACUGGAGAAUUCAGGAUCCAAGCACACAGGAUUUCCCACAAGUCUGCCGAUAGAGGAAGAGGCAAUUCUAGUCAGUAAAUGGAGACUAGAAGCAGCAUGUGGUCUUUGGUUUUGAAGCAUGCAAGUACUCACACUAGUAUUCCGUUGUAGCUUUGUGUUAUUUUUGCCGCAACUAUACGAUUAUUUAACAGAAUGACUCGCUGCAGUUGUUGAGUGAUGUUGCCAGUCAUGUUAAGCGUCCCAUUGAAGGCAUUAUUGCUUAGAAUACUGUCUGAUCAGUGACAAAAAUAAGCAAACAUGUGAAACUUUGCUAGUUACUAAAAUUUUAACUUGUAUGUUUCCAGAAAAUUACACUUGCUGCAGUCCGGGUAAGGUAAAGAUCCUGUUGGGAAUCUGACCAUACAGUCCUCCAGAAGCUAUUGCUCUGCAUGUUAGGAUUUUAUAACGUGAUAUGGUUUCACUAAAUGAGAAAAUAUAGUACAUUGAGCAUUGUAGUGCAUGUCUUAAACAACUCACACUGAAGCUAGUGUUUUCAGUGUCAGCAUCCAGGUUGGUAUGGCAGACGGAUCAAAUGAAUUGUUGCUUAAAUCACUGGAUGUGAAAAGAAAAUUCAUUAGUACUUGCACCAUGUUUAUAUGUUAUGACAGUGUAGAAUAGAAGACAAGGGCGAUAUCUUACACCACAUUAAGUUUUGUCAGGGUACUGAGAUCUGGCAUUGUUCCACGCAGCUGGUUGCCUGCAAAAUUCCUGCAGAAGAUAGUUAUUCAAAUGAAAUACACUGGAAAUUCUUGACUUACACAAAUAUGUUAGUCAUUUGACCGUGAGGUCAAAAAUCAUACAUCACUUACAGUACAUUGAGGUCAACUAGGUUACUGAUAUUGGUCGGAACUGCUCCUGUGAAUUUAUUAUUGUCUAAUCGGCUGAUCAAGAUGCAAAGAAGUCAACAUAAUGCUGAGAAUAUGGUUGGAAGAAAUAAAAAUGCCAAGAUACUCACAGAAUCUGGAGGGUGGUGAUGCUACCAAGUUCAGCAGGGAUAGGACCAGUCAAUUGGUUGUUGUCAAAUAAUCUCAUGAAGAUAAACAAAGUGAUCAGUACAGUACUUUAAUGUGUAAGAAUUGCUAGCAUAAAAAAUUAGUACUGCCUUACAUAUGUUCGAGUCUCAUGCUAGGGCUGAAGAGGCCAUUGAGAUUACCGGUUAAUUGGUUUCCACUGAAAUGACUGUUAAUUAAUCGGAACAGAGUAUCAGCAUGGUAGGAACACGAGUAAAAGCAUGCAUACUGAUCAUCUGUUCUUGACUUAUAGGAGAUUAGAAAUGUUGGAGGAUCUUACAAAUGUUUGGUGUGUGUAAGUAGGUCAAGUCCUGGAGAAGUGGCUGAUGAAAUCGGAACAGGACCAGAAAGUUGAUUUUCUGACAAGUCUAGCCAGAAGAGGUUGUUGAGUAGGCCAAUUGAAGCAGGAAUUCUGCCUGUAAAUCUGUUUGAAUUCAUUGCCCUGCAGAGUAUAUUUCAUUGCUAGUUCAUUGCAUCAGUAUAGGCAAAGCAGCAGCAGAGGUAACAAGAACAGAGUUGGGAUUAUGAUUUUCUAUCAAUUUAAUAGUUCUUACAAGAAUGAGAGCUGCACCAAGUUUCCUAAUUCUUCGGGGAUGCCUCCUGUGAAGCUGCACCCAGCCAAGAUUCUGAAGAUUACAACGCAUUAGGUAAGCUUCAUUGAUUCAUUAUGAUAUAUAAGAAUUUGCCCCGGUCAGGACAUACAGUGUUGUGAGCUGCCUGAGGUUGCCAAUCGAAGUGGGUAGUGGGCCACUAAGACCACUGUUGGAGGAGAGGUCCCUGCAUGCACCAUAACAUAUGAGUGAACAUGAUGUCUUUUUCCCCUCAAGCACAUAAGAGACAUGUAUCAUUUCUUUAAGAGAGAAAAGACUACACAAGAGGGACAUAGCCCCCCCCCCCCCCCAAAAAAAAAAAGCACACACACACACCCAAAACUUACAUAAACACACCCACACCACAAUCAAUCAGGAGAAAAUAAGACACAAAUGCCCCUUUUUCAACAGUAGGCAAACAUCAAUCUACCAGGACGUACACAUCACUUGAAAGUUUGAAAUCUGGGGGUUGUUGACUGAUACGAUCACCCCUACUACGAAGGUUGUAUGUGUGGCUGUUGGGAAGAGGGUUGAAGGAGGGCCGUGCGGGAACCGUGAUGAACUUGAGAAGAGCACCAUGCCUGGCGAAGAACAGGUAACAAGAUGAGGCAAGUGCAAUCUUUCUUUAGAUUAAACUUGCUUACAGAUGAAUACAAUGAAGAGGCUUUUACACAGCCUUGGCCUAACAGACUCUAGCUUUAUUUCAGGGGAUCUAACAACUCUCUCCUAUUUUUACUCCCUAGCCUUAUCUGCUGGCUGAUCGUCACACUUAUCUAACUAGGCCGAGGCCCCUAUUGCUGGCUCGCUUACAGGCUGUUUAGGCCGACAGCCAUAUACUCUUCCAAUCAUAACAUCUCUCCCUCCCUCGACGAACAGCUCGUCCUUGAGCUGGAACUGUGGAUAGGAAGAUGUGCACUGCUAUAGUGGCUCCCAUGUGGCUUCUUCUGGAUGCUCUUCAUUCCACCUGACCAAAACAACUCUACUUUCAGCUCAUCCAAGUUCUAUAAUCUUACUUUUCAGUCAAUUUAGCCCCCUGCUGCCUAUAAUUGGAUUUGGCAGUCCAAGGUUGGUAAGAAAUUGAAGAUCUUUGUGUGGCUGGUCUUCAGAGAUAGAAUUAACUCAAAGAACAUCCUCAGAAGAAAGGGUUUCCUGGCGCCUGACAGUAACUUUGGCUACACUCUAAGGAGAAAGGUACGCGUGCUGGAUUUAUCAAACUCGUCGCUGUUGUUGCACUGGAUGGGCUUCACAGAGGCGUCGAACUGUGUAGAGGCGUAGGCAAUGAAGGUCGCGAGAGUGCAGAAAGUGUCAGAUUUAACACGAAGAGGAAAAGUCCACAAAUAAUGUGUGAAAUCAUCAAGAAUGACCAAAUAAUAUUUAUAACCAGAUACACUAACGAUUGGAGAUGUCCAUAGGUCACAAUGUACAAGAUCAAACUUAUUAGACGCACGAGAGGUAGACACAUGAAAGGGUAAGCGAACAUGGUGCCCUAACUGACAAGCAUGGCAUAAAUAUGAGGAAUCCUCCAAGUGAAGGGGGAUGCUAGACGGGAGCUUCGAUAGAGCUUCAUGACCAGGAUGACCGAGAGGGCGAUGCCACAAGGGUGAGGUGGACUUGGCGACCAAGGACUGAGCUAGAGAGAGGUGCAAGGGGUACAGAGCCUUGGAGCUAUUGCACCUGACGAUCACGUUCUGAGUUUGCAGAUCCUUCACAGAACAACCAGCAGGGUCGAACUCAACAGAGCAAUUGUUGCCGAUAGUAGGGGCACGGGCACAGAUGUGGAGGAUCCUGGUGUGGACUCAACUGCAGCGAUCCGAGACGACAUGGAAGACAUCUAGGUGGCGAAGUCUCCGAGCUGUCGCUGGACGUCGGUGAUCGUCUCCAGCGUUGGUGACUGGGUGGCGGAGGCCAUGUGAUCAUCAUUAUUGGAACCUUGCAUGACCGAUACCAAGUUGAUACGAUCACCCCUACUACGAAGGUUGUAUGUGUGGCUGUUGGGAAGAGGGUUGGAGGAGGGCCGUGCGCGUGAUGAACUUGAAAAGAGCACCACGCCCGACAAAGAACAGGUAACAAGAUGAGGCAAGUGUAAUCUCUUUCUUUAGAUUAAACUUGCUUACAGAUGAAUACAAUGAAGAUGCUUUUACAUAGCCUUGGCCUAACAAACUCUAACUUUAUUUCAGGGGAUCUAACAACUCUCUCCUAUUUUUACUCCCUAGCCUUAUCUGCUGGCUGAUCGGCGAUCGCCGCACUUAUCUAACUAGGCCGAGGCCCCUAUUGCUGGCCCGCUUACAGGCUGUUUAGGCCGGCGGCCAUAUACUCUUCCAGUCAUAACAUGACACUGUAAGCUGAAAUCUUUUCUAUUAGUUUUAACUAUUUAGUGCACACAUGAAAGCCAUAUUACACAGUUGAAUUAGGAAACUCGUCCAUAAACUCUAGAUAUAUGAAUAGGAUAUUAGGAUGGAACUACAACAGCAAUCAUUUUCUUGAAUGUUUUUAACAUGUAUUGAAGACUGGGCUUGGCCGGAAGGGACUAACUUGCAAUUUCAGCCCCCACAUCUGGGAGCCAAAAUCUUUCAGUUACAGCUUAAAUUUUUUUUUUCUGGAAUACGCAGGAGAGCUGCGUAUCAUUGCAUUAAUAGAAAGAAUAGAAAGGGGGAUAGAAUCCCGGUACAGAACACACACACACACCACUUAUAAACUAACUAAGGAUCACCGACUAUCAUGGAGGAAACACGACCCACAACACUGAUCUAAGCUAGCAACUCAUCAACUUGGAGGAAGGACAGAGCCUUGGCACCAGUCAGGGACCAUAGCACCGCCUCUUCCCUAGCCACUCUAAGGGCAGUGACCAGGCUGGGAUUACAACCAUCAAAAACGCAUCUAUUCCUAUGCUUCCAAAUGGUCCAAGCACCUAGGAUCACAAGAGAAUUAAAACCUUUUCUCAAAAAAUCAGAUGCCCGAGAGCUGCUAGACUUCCACCACGACUCAAAGGAAUCCUCAUGAGCUGGACAUAGAACCUGCAGCCCCACUAAACUAAGGAACUGAAACCAGAACUGCUUGGCAAAAACACAUUUGACCAGCAAAUGAUUCAUGGUUUCAGCCUCUUGGUCGCAUAGGGGGCACUGCUCAGGUCGGUCUAGUCCUCUUUUUAUAAGCCUGUCAGCAGUCCAACACCUAUUAUGUUCCACAAGCCAUAUAAAGAACUUGCACUUGCCAGGAGCCCAAGAUUUCCACACACGUUCUGCUGGUUCGAACUGGACCGAACCAAGGAAAAGAGCUUUAUAAGCAGAACUAGUUGUAUACUCCCCUGAAGCGCUGAAUUUCCAUAAGUGGCGAUCCCUUAUUCCAGGUUGGAGCUCAACUGCAUCAAGCACUUCACAGAGUUCCAAGAAUUCAGCAAUGACUCUAACUGAAAUUGCCCCAUUCACAUCGGAGAUCCACUGAAAAUUAGGGAGCACAUCUUUAACCAACUGUUUGUUGGCAAGACGCGGGGGCACCAAAUCAAACACUGCAGGAGCUAUGUCUUUAAUACAUUUCCCAUCCAACCAUCUAUCCUUCCAGAAAAGAGUAUUGGCUCCAUCACCGAGCUUAGUAAUAAUGGCUGCAGCGAUCAGAUUUUUAACCACCUUACAUACACGAAUGGGGAAGUCCGUCCAGGGCCUACUGGGGUCUGUUUUCUGCAGCCAUGGCCAACGAGCUCUCAGAGCCCAACAUAGGUUCUUUAGCUCACUAAUCCCAAGACCACCCAGCUCCUUGGGACGGGUAACCUUAGGCCAAGCCAAGAGGCAAUGACCACCACGGAACUCUUUCCUGCCCCUCCAAAGGAAGCCUUUCCUCAAUUUAUCAAUAGCUUUGAUGGCCCAAACAGGAAGGUCGAGUGCCAAAGCUGCAUAAAUCAUCUUUGCCGUCAUGACAAACUGCAUAUGAAUAGCUCUACCAGCCCUGGUCAUAAGUUCAGCUUUCCAUCCUGGCAGAAGGCUAGCUACUCUAUCAACGAUGGCCUGAACCUGGUCCCUUGUGAGUUUCUUGGGAGACAGAGGCAGACCAAGGUACUUACACGGAAAAUCUGAAAUAUUACAUGGUAGCAAGUCUUGUAAACAAUUUAAAUCUUCUUCCCCACAGCAGAUUGGGAACACACUACUCUUCUGGAUAUUAGUCCUUAGACCCGAAGCUGAACCAAAUAAAUGGAGAAUAUCCAUAACCAUACUGAUGUCUGGGGCAGUCGGACAUAGAAAUAUCACUGCGUCAUCCGCGUACAGCGAGAUACGGUGCUGCAUAUUCCUUGUAGAGAGAGGUUGAAGAAGCCCUUCCUCAGAAGCUCGCUGCACAAGCAGAUUCAAGACAUCCAUUACAAGAAUAAAUAACAUAGGCGAUAGUGGAUCACCCUGCCUCAGCCCACGUUGAUGUCCAAUCCAAUCCCCUGGCAGACCAUUUAGUAAAAUCCUGGUAGAAGAGGUAGCUAACAGCCCACAUAUUAUAUCACACCAGACCUGACCAAAACCAAGUUUUUUCAAGACCUCGAGAAGGAAGGCCCACGAAACCGAGUCAAAAGCCUUUGAAAUGUCAAGCUUGAGAAGGAUACGAGCCUGCUUCUGACAAUGUAGGAAUUUGGUCGUCUGCUGGACCAGCAUAAAGUUGUCCAGAAUAAACCGUUUCUUAAUAAAAGCGGUUUGAUUGGGGGAAACCAUAUUUUGCAGCCGGCCUGCUAACCGGUUAGCCAACAAUUUAGUCACCAACUUCGCGAAACUAUGAACCAGACUUAUUGGGCGGAAAUCCCUCACACUGGUGGCCCCCUCCACCUUGGGAAGAAGAGUAAUGAAAGCUGAAUUCAGAGGACCCAGGUUUCUGAAUUUUUUAGCCCAAAUGCAGCGAACGGCUGCCAUGAAAUCAGUCAUGAUUACCGACCAGCAGCUUUUGUAAAAUCUACCAGUGAACCCGUCGGGACCCGGGGAUUUGUCCGAAGGAAGGGCCUUAAUUGUAUCCCAGACUUCCUCCUCAGAGACAGGCACAUCAAGGGCAGCAAGGUCAAAAGAUGGCAUCCCUAGAGCAUCCAGAUCCACUGUAACAUUCCUUAUUUCUGCAGUACCAAGUAACCCUUGAUAAAAAUUGAAGAGGGCUGCUGCCUUUCCUUCCUGGGCAGUCCAAAUCUGCCCAUCUUCUGAUUGAAUUGCUGCAAUGAAAUUCUUUUUCUUCCUGAACCUUGUUUGUGCAUGAAAAAGAGAGGUAUUGGCAUCCCCUUCUUUGAGCCAUCCAAUCCGCGAUUUCAACCUUGCCAUGGUACGAGAAAUAGAGGAGAGGGAAAGGGAGUGCUUUUUGAGCAUGUUUCGGAGCCACAAUUCAGCAGGAGAUAAAGAGCGAUUAUCUUGCGCCACCUCUAAUUGAUGUAGAAGCUCCCUAGCCAUCUCAAGCUGCAGUUUAAUCUUCCCAACUUUUUUGUCAUUCCAGCUCUGCAAACAUCUAGCCGUUGUCUUUAAUUUCUUGGCCAAGGUGAUAAGUGGGCAAGGCCCUGCAGGAACAGACGCCCAGGCCUGAGUUACCACAUCCUGAAAACCCUCCAUCUUAGUCCAGAAAGCUUGGAAGUGAAACCUCCCUUUUCCUCUGCUGAAAUCAUGAAGCCCAAGCAGCAAAGGGCAAUGGUCGGAGUCAUCCGUGGCUGAGCUCUGGAGAAGAGAAUCUGGGAAUUGUUCCUCCCAAUCUGUUGUGCAGAAAACCCUAUCCAAUUUGACCAGGGUAGGAUUAGAGUGCCCAUUUGACCAUGUAUACUUCCGGCCAAUCAACGGAAUUUCAUUAAGAGCCAAAUCAUUUGCCCAUCUCCUGAAUCUACCCAUCAUGGCACGGUCUAAAUUAUUAUUAUUCUUUUCUUCCUCCCUUAAAAUCAGAUUGAAGUCCCCGAGCACAAGCCAUGGCCCAUUACAGAGAGCUCUAACUUCUCUAAGAGAUUGCAAAAACUGAAUCUUGUCACGGUUCCCUUGUGGACCAUACACACAAGUAAGCCACCAAGGAGAGCUGGUGCUAGAAUGAAAAUUCACAGAGACACUAUAUUCAUCCACUCUACUGCCAGCACAAACACCAAUGCUAUUUUUCCAAGCUACCAAAAUGCCACCACUAGCACCAACAGAAGGUAGGAAAACAAAAUUAUCAAAAGCUGGUCCUAGCAUCCGCAACAAAAGGAACCGAGAAACAUCCACCAUUUUAGUCUCUUGAAGACAAACCACAUCAACUUGAGCUGAAUCCACCAAAGUGCGUACAGCAUCCUGCCUAGCAGCCCCAUUAAGGCCUCGUACAUUCCAGAUUAGAAUUUUGGAGGGAUCCAUAAGGAAUGAAAGAAGAACGACUACCAGUGAGGGACACCCAAAAAAAAAUCAUCAGCAGAUUGGUCCGCCUUGCAGCAUCUCCAUAGGCCUAGACCACCCAAAUAGCGCUGCCAUGGCCGUGAUCUGCACCUCUGAAAGCCCUUUGCUGAAAACCCUGGCAUACUCAUCAAGGUCUUCUGGCCUUAGACUUUCAGUUUCUUCCGCAUUCCCAAUACCCAGUUCCUUCAAAAUGCGCUUCUUGCCCUGCGUGGCCGGUGGAGGAGGAGGCAACCUCUCCACUCCUACUCCAGCGACCCUUCUGCUGCGUCGGGGGACCACCUCAUUGGCUGUAACUUUGCCUUGUCGCGGCCUUCUGACUGGCGCCCUCAGAAUUCCACCUGCUGGUUUGGUCAGCCUAUCAAUAAACUUUAUAGCAGCCGAAGGGGGGGGGCGUGGACGUGUGUAACAGCUGCUUUGGUUGACUGUCCUUCUUCCUCCUCUGCCGAAAAUAUGUAAUGAUGCCCGAAGCCGCUGCAGAACAGGGGGGCGGCAUCACCAGCUCAACAGCGACAGGCUCAUCAACAGGACAAGGAUCGCCCUGGACAAGCGCUGCAGCCGGAACUGUGGCGCCCUUAGGUGUCCCGCAGUCUAGAAGAGAAACCGGUAACAAAGGCUCAACAUCAGCAGGUUCAUCGACAGGGCUGGGGGGGUCGCCCUGGACAAACACAGGAGAAAUAUCAACAGAAUCAUUCCCUGUCGCAGCCAAAUCAUCAGAAGUCAUUCCCCCCCCCCCCCCCCCCCCCGGCUUCAGACGGAGUCUGGGAGACUACCACGUCCACAGCCGGAGAGAAUGAAAGGUGAGGGGGGCAGGUGCCACCAUGGACCCGCUGCGAUGCUUCGGACCUUGAGCCCAAACGGUCAAAAAUUGAUCUCCUUCCCCGAGGUUCCCCACCGACUUCCCUGCCGUCGUUAUCAUCACCGCCAUGAGGAGGAGAGCGGGAACGAUGACGCCUCCUCUGUCUUGAAGAACCACCAUUUACUCCGGAAUCCUGAGAAGGGAUCAACCGAUCACUCCUCAACGUCGAGAAACUAAUAGAAAUCUGAUAUACAAGGCCAAGCCUUCCAUCUUCAGUGUUAACUCCCGUAGGUUCCACAAUCCAAAGGUCUCUGGCAGCAGGGAUGGUUGCCGGGUCAAAACACCAUCCAGAACAACGAAAGACGUCAAGAUUCCGGAGCUCCAGGGUAUCAGGAUGGACUUCAUGCACCCAAACACACUGAUUCAGUAGCUGCUGAACUGUUGAUAACUCCCAUGCAUGUAAAGGAAUACCAGUCAGUUGCACUUCCACAGGGAUCGGCAGGCUCACUCCAGACGAACCCAAAAACUUGGACCAUUUCUUGGACAGCAACGAGAACGUGCUGGAUCUGAUCAAGCUCCACCUCUCUGUUAGUACCAGAGCUAAGCGCUCAUUUGGAAGCAUGAGCAAUAGAUUGGCCUUGGUAAACUGCCGCAGAACCAAAGAAGAUGCCUCAACAUCCAACUUAAGCGCAAUCGCCUCUGCAAUCUCUGCAAGCGGAAUCACCAAGUCACUGAUAACAGCAAUAGACACUGCAUUCUUCAAAUCAUCUUCAGCUUGCGUUAGAGGAUUAUUCCAGCCAAUGAUGCAAGGCACAUGAGGCUGUACUGCUAUUCCUUCCAAAGGGGUCUCAUCACUUCCUGGCAAGACAGCUCCAUCUUGGCCUUGACCAGGAUCCGAACCACCCCUCGACGAUGAACGGCGCUUGCGAUGGCGCCUGCGACGUGGGCGAGGCGGGAGGGGUUGCUGCGAGUGUGCGGCAGUUGCGAUCUCCAUGACCGUGGACGAUGUCGCGACGGUCGUCGACACAGUCUCCUUCCUCUUCUCACCUUCAGCACUAGGGGGUGAAAUCCUGCGCCAAACCUUAUUACGACCCUCGAAUCGACUUGGAUGAGAAGCCGGGAUGCGGAGCCGGUUCCAAACUGGCGCUUUAGAAGCCUGCUGCGAAAGCUUGGUUACAGACGUCGUCUUCACUACAGUCUGAACACCAGCCGCCGGCGCAGCUGAACCCAGUCUAUCCCACACGGAGCCUCUAGAUAACCGCCGGUGAACCGUGAGCCUGUUGUCGUUACGCACCGGCCCUGGACAUGUAUAGGAUCGAUGUCCCAGAGCCUUGCAGCGAAAACACCUUGGCUCCCUGCGGCACGACACAGCGAAGUGGUCGUCGGCAAAGCAGUUGAAACAGCGGCCGAUCAAGUCGACGGGCACAGCCUUGCUAGCCCGCAGCAAUUUAGCACUCCGCUGCCUUGUCUUCUUCGACCUUACUUCAACCCAACCGUCGGCAUCCCUCUUCGGGGCUCUCUCCAGACCACGUACAGCUUAAAUUUGGAGUCAUGCUUUCUAGUAAAUAGAAAUAACACAGGAUUCCAGACUUUGAAAACUACUUUUCAAUACAUGGAAACAAAGUAAUCAUGCAGUCAAAUUUUGAGCAGACUAUUCUGAUUUCUAUCAAUUGAAACCAGAAAAAAAUGGUGCCGAUGAUAAUUUAUGAACUUUAAAUAUAGAUUCUACUUUUCAAUAUAUGGAAAUAAAGUAAUUAUGCAGUCAAAUGAUGAGCAGAUUCUUCUGGCAUGUCUAUCAAUUGGAACUAGAAAAUGCAGUACUAAAGAUAGUUUAUAAACUUUAAUUAUCUAUGCAAAAUGACUCACAAGUAAGCAAGCUCGCUGAACUGGCCUAUACUGUUGCUUAAUGUGCCUUGAAGAUUGAUGCUUGAUAGCCUCCUGGAAACAUGGAUUUUGAAUUUUAUAGAUGGAAAGUUAAAGUAAAAACUAGUAAAACAUUAUUAGUUAGUACCCACAUUGAUAUGACUCGCCCAUUGUUGCACAUAAUGCCAUCCCAUUGUGCACCACAUGGAUCAUUUGAUGCUUCCCAACUUGAUGGGAAGUUCUGCCACCCUUUAAUUAGAGACUGAAGUGCAGCCACUGUCAAUUCGUUCUGUGUUAUUAUCAAUUGAACAAUUUACAUAGCACUGAAUUGAGUUACAUUCUCAUUUGUAUGGUUUGAUACUGCCAUCUCUUUUAUUGUUAGCUGUUUUUUAUUUGCUAACUCACAAUAUAAAUUUGGAAAGGUCACCAACUUAGAGAAAUAAAGAAGAAUGGUACUUUUUUCAAUUGACAUGGUGCUUAUCAUAGCAAUAUUUCAUUGGAUCUUACAUACUUGAAGAUAAAGGCAUGCUAAAACAUUAAACAUUUUGUUCUUUGGAGAGAAGAAUACUGUUUCUUGAAAACUGAGUGGCAUAUAAAAGGUUUUUCAUCUAGCAAAUUUAUGUGUUCUGCUAGGCUUCAAGAUGCUUAAGCUAUAACUUUGCAAGGCUAAUUUAAGUAAGAAUAGAAAGUUUCAGAGACCAAGGUUAAUAUAGUUACCAUCUUGGGGAUCUGUAUCACAGAAUAGUGCACGAAGACUGGCCAAAAUCAUGAAUAUCAGCAGAAGAAUGGACAGUGCCUUCAUUUUGAGAGCUACAAACACUCUGAACCUCAGGGUUCCACAAAGCUGUUGUGAAUGUGAAUACUUCAAGGAGUGGAGCUUUCUAAGGUUUACAACUGAUCACCAAAGCCUUGGUCUUUUAUUGAAUGUUCCCUUGAGUAGGAACAGGUCAGCACAAUCUACACUUGCUUGCUAUUCCUCACGAGACUUGCACCAGCUGCAAAUUUGAUGAUAAACUAGAUAGUAAGCCAAGGAAAUGGAAAGACGUGUAAAACAACAGAGUUGCAUAAGGAUUACUGGCUCUUCCAUGGAUCCCUGAAUGACCUGUUGUCUGAUGACUCUCGCAGGUAAUAGGUCUUUGGUGCCUUGGUGGCUCGGUGCAAGUCACAAACUCACAAUGCUGUCAACACAUUCCUUUAAACUUUUGAACGUGGACGUAUUCGUGACAACUGGUGUCUGUUUUGUUAUUUAAAUUUGUGUAGCCUGCUCAUCCUUACAGGUUGUAACUUCAUGUCGCUGGGAUACAGUUUUUUUUUGUCAUUUUUAAUACUUUUGCAUUUGCAUGUCAUGUAGUUGAUAUUGUUUUUUCAUUGAUCCAGUGUAUGCUGAGGUGGACUGAAAUAACGAUGUCAAUGCUUUGGAAGCUCUGCUAAUGACAUAGUUACUUUCAUUGUUUCUGCAGGUUUCUUUCUUGUUUUGCCCACAUCUUAAAUUGAACUUUGUUUAUUGGUAUGUUUUGUUACAUUAGCUUUUGAGUAUUCAUAUAUUUUAAUUAUCUCAUUCUCCCAACUGGCUGCUGAUGGGACUCAAUUAAGUGCAGCGAACAUUUUUUAUAGAACUUGUCCCUGCUACUUCUACAGAAGUGCAACAGACAUGCAUUGCAGUAGUAAUGACUGAGUUAUUUUCGUCACUGUUAAUUAAUAUAAUCAAACAAAGAUAUUUCAACACACAUGGGCAAUGCCUCUACUAAAUCAUCUGUUUGUCAACAAAGGGCAAACAUCAAUUAUAAUAUUGUCCCUCAUCAGUCCUUUGUACUCACAUAUUGGCAUCCACCGACAAGAACUUCAUGGCCAUGACCUCUCAACAAUAUUGUCUUGGACUAGUUCUUGAUUCGACUGGCUAAUCGGACAUUUUUUAUCCUUAUGUUGUCAGUGUAAAGGAGUACAGAGGCAUGAAUGGUUUUAUAGAUGGAUCAGACAUUCACUGCUGUUUCAUCUGAAGCAAGUCAUGUGCCAGUGUGUUUCUGAAAUACUCAUUCAUUGAUUUAUCAACAGGGAAAAGAUUAAUGUCGUAUAAUACAUCCUUCAACAAAAACAAAGAGUGGAAACUGUUAUCUACUUUGGUUGAACAGCUGAGUAUGAAUACCCACUGUUGUAGUCAAAAGUGCUGCUGCUGCUUUCAUCAUUCAUAGGCAAAUGUUCUGCAUAAGGAUCUCGUCUCUUUUCAUUUCCAAAUUGUUCAACUGAUAAAGACGCUGAGUUUAACAAUUGUGCCCCUUCAUUCUGUAUGAUGAUCUCAAGUUCCUUUACCACAUCAUUCAUUGUUGGGCGGUCAACAGCAGACUCUUCCACACAUUCCAUAGCCAACUGUAUAAAUCUCCUGAAGCCAAUUAAUUUAGCUGAAUCCCUGAUUUUUGGAUCGAUUAGGCCCUUCAAGCCAUAGUAUUCUUGAUCAUAUUGAUCUAUUGCUGUCCUGAUCUCACGGACAAUAUACCUGCCUUUCUCUAUGGGCUGGCUAGCAGUUACUAGUUCUAGCAGGACAACUCCAAAGCUGUAGACAUCACUCUUCUCAGAGAGCUGUUGCGUCAUGUAAUACUCAGGAUCCAAAUAGCCCUAGCAAGAAUGCAAAAAAAAGGAAUCAGCAAAAAGUGUUUCUUAGGUGAACAGAAAUUACGCCAGAGAAUAUCCAAAAUACAUACCAAUGUUCCCUUCACUUGGGUAGAAACAUGACCCUUUUGUGUGUCAGACACAAGUUUUGAAAGACCAAAAUCGGCAACCUUAGCAUUGAGACUUUCAUCCAAAAGGAUAUUGGUUGAUUUGAUAUCUCUGUGUAUGAUUGGUGGAUCAGCAAGUUCAUGGAGGUAUGCUAGACCUUUUGCUGAGCCAAUGGCAAUCCUGAGGCGGUUCUUCCAAUCUAAGUUCACUCCUCUUUUACCUGCAAUCAAGUCAUGGUUAGAUCAUAUGUUCUUGUGUAGGCACAUCUACUAGUUAAGUAAAUUUGUGUUAAUUAGAGUGAGUAGUGUAGAUGAUACCCAUCAAGUUCUCCCUUAGUGUCCCAUAAGGAAUAUAUUCAUAAACCAACAUCUGUUCCCCUUGUUCGUAGCAGAAACCCACUAGGCUCACUAGGUUCUUGUGAUGAACCCUGGACAGCAGUUCUAUCUCAUUCUUGAAUUCAGCUGCACCUUGCAUGGACCCUUGCUGUGCACGUUUUAUUGCAGCUAUUUGCCCGUUUGCAAGUCUUCCUUUGUACACCUUUUAAUAGAGUAAAAUGUAAUGUUAGAUGCUUUCUCAAACACGUGUCUAGCUGUGAACAGGCCAAAGCGGCAACUGAAUUACCUUCCCAUAUCCUCCAGACCCUAUCUCCUGAGUUUCUGAGAAAUUAUUGGUGCAUUUUUUCAGUUCCUCGAAUGGAAAGUAUCUUGCACCCUUCAAUUGUGGUGCAUCUCCGUUGUCUGUCCCACCAGCUCCCCAUGAUGCUGUGGCACCAAAGCAUUAACAAGAAUGAAUCAGGAUAAGUACAGUUAUCUUCCUAGUAUUUAAUCUUUGGUACACAUUACCGAAAGGAUUUGUAGUUCGCUCUACUGCCUCCUUGGCUAUCCUUUUCUGUCGUAGAGCAUAUGUUGCUACUGCAACAAGGCCAAGAAUAAGGACAACACCCCCAAUUGAUAUUCCAAUUAUUGCAGCCUUGCCCAUCGAGGGCUUCUUAUUGCUGGGAACUGAAAUGGACGUUUAGCAAUUCAAGAUACGUCAGACAAAGGUGGUAUAAACCUUGUGAAAUGUACUGUUUGCAUACCUGUAAAGUAUGUGUUCGCUAUGAAGCUGUAUGGUCCAAAAUUGGGUGGGGCUUUAUAAGUUUGGUUGACCAGAGGAGAAAUGAUUCUUAUGACUUCUGAGCGAUUGAAGCUCGUUCCACUGGCCGGAAAAAUACUCACUAUGAAUGUUAGAGGGUUUCCUUGGCUGAAUUGAACAUUGGAAAUGGCAACUGAUCUUGGUGCCAGGCUAAGAUUCUGCAUAAGUGUUGACUCCACAAUUUGGAACAUUGUGGGGCUUAUGACAUCAGAGAAGGCGGGUGCUUGGAAGAUCAUCAGACCCUGAAUGGGACUGGUGCAUGCACAGUUCUGUGAAGUGACUGGACUUGCUGACUGAUCAAAGGGGCAUGGAAUGGCAGCACAUGGGCCAAGGUUAGUGGCAUAUGACGCUUGCUGCUUUUGCUUGAGUUUGCAUAAACUAGUGUUGUCUAAACAUACAGGAUUCUCUGUUAAUCUGGAUAAGAACAGAAACUAUGGUGGUUAAAAAACACAUGCCGGUAAGUAUGCAAGCAUACAAUCAUUUAUGUUUGAGAGGACAAUUCUUACAUAAGGGUGUUGCUGUAGCCUGUUACAUUCGCUUCGAUGAUUUGAUUAGAUGUCAAGUUAACAACCUGCAACUGUGAGCUGAUGUUACCUGUCAUAUUAAGUUUCCCACUGAAUGAGUUCCUAGCUAAUGAUCUGCAUGACAAGUUGUGACAUCACAGAAUGCACAAUAAAUUACUCAGUUUGAACUCUAUAGAUAUUCAAGGGAAUCGUGGAACAAGUCAAUGAUGAAUUACACUUGCUGCAGGUUGGGGAGACUGAACAUAGCACUAGGGAUUGUCCCAUUAAGUUCACCAUGAUCCAUAAAUCUGCAUAUCCGACCAGAAACAUUAUCCGUAUUGUAGCUUUAAAUGUAAUUGAUUUCGUUAAUCUUCAAAAACUCACAUGGUAUUUAAGGAUCUCAAUGUUGAAAACCAUCCUGGUGCUGGCGAGCUUGCAAAGUUAUUAUUGCUUAGGUCUCUGCUUAGAUAAAGAAAAAAUUAACCGCAGAAAACAAAUCAUAAACUUGAAUGUGGCAUAUUUUUCUUACACAUAAUCUAGCUGAGUUAGAUUAGUGAGAUCCGGCACGGUCCCGUUCAGUAGGUUGUUUGCUAUGCUCCUGCAAGAAGCCAAGAACCAAAAGGGAUAUUUGCAAUGUAAUUUUCUAGUAUCAUGAAAUAUCCGUUGGUAUUCAUUGAAAUUUAGUUACUUACACUUCCAUGAGGUUACUUAGGGUGGUAAUACUGUUGGGAACUGGACCACUGAAUUGGUUAUGAUCUAGUCGGCUGGCAACAAUUGUGACAAUGUUAUGAUCUAGUCGGCUGUACAAGAUUGAUGGAGAACAUGAUUUAUCUGGUACUUACAUUAUUUGAAGUGAUUUGACUUGUCCAAGAGAUGCUGGGAUUGGCCCAGUAAAGUUGUUAUUAUUAAAUAUCCUGGCAAAGAUUACAGAAAGCAGUGACAUACUAUGGUGACAGAAAUAAACAGAGUUGCUAUUGCAAAUGAAGAACACAGCUUACACAUGUAUAAGGUUCAUCUUAUCACUGAAAAGGCUUUCGCUCAUCGGGCCUGUCAACUGGUUCUCACUGAAGUGGCUGUUGAUUGCAUGUAUGCAACCGGAGUUGGAACAGUUAAGCUACAGUUUUUCUCUUUUUAUGCUAGAGUUGGUAAAACAUUUGAGAACUUACAAAUGCCUCGUGUUGACAAGUUGAUCCAACCCUGGAGAAACUGGUAUUUGUCCUGACAACUGAUUUGCUGACAUGUCCAACCAGAAAAGAUUUGAAAGAAGGCCAAGUGUUGGAGGAAUUCCACCAGUGAAUUUAUUUGAGUUUAGUGCCCUGCACAAGGAAAUAGUUAAUUCAUAUGACAAACAGAAUGUUGUCCGUUAUAUAUUCUCUUCUGAAUUUGAGUGACUUCUUACAGGAAUGUGAGCUGUGACAAGUUGCCUAUUUCUUUCGGGAUAUUCCCUGUGAACGUGCAUCCAAGCAAAAUCCUGACAGAACAAAGAUUGGUCAGCGUUCCUCCUUUUUGGUGAUCUUUGCAUAUCCCUAAAAAAUAGUGUUAUCAUGAAAUGUCAUUUCUUACAGAACGGUGAGCUGCUUCAGAUUUCCAAUAUUUGGAGUAAGUGGACCCCCGAGAUUUUGGUUAUUAGACAGAUCCCUGCAUGUAGUUUAUAGCAUUAGCUUAAUAUAUGUUUUCUCUUCAUCGAUCUCUAGGUAAACUGGUAGGUUAUGUUAUGAAUUCAACUAUAUUCAAUAUGAGGACACUAGGCCAUAUUAUAUACACACCAAUCCAGGAUAGAGACCAUAUAUAACAGGGGUUAAGGCCGAAUAUAACAAGGAUACAUGCAUAGACAUCUAACACCCUCUCUUAAACUCAAGGUGGAUCAAACGUAUGGAGUUUAAAGAGAUAAAAAAACCCAUACUAAGCUCUAAUCUGUGUCUUUGUGAAGAAAUCAGCCAACUGAAGCUCUAAAAGGCUAUGUCAGUUCGUAUUGUUCGUUGCGGUCUAGCUUGGAGUCUCUUUUUUCCCUCUUAAUAUAAUGAUGUGCAGUUCUCCUGCGUGUUCGAGAGAAAAACUGAAGCUCUAAAGGCAUAUAACAAAGAUCAAUCAUAUUGUUCUGAACCUAUGCACUUGUGUAAUAGGCUUCAACACUUUAGUAAGCUCAUGCUUGAUCGGACCACGAGCAAAAAUAAUAGCACAUAUAUUGUCAUAUAAAAGAGAAGUUGGCAUAGAAACAGAAACACCAAAAUUCUCCAGCAACCACCAUAAUCGUUGGUGAUCUUGGGUGCCUAGGUUGUGUGGAAGCAUAGGAACAAGUAUGUUUUUGAUGGAUGUAGUCCUAGUUUAGUUGUUGCCCUCUAGGUGGCCAGGGAAGAGGCUUUAUAUUAGUCCUUUGCAGGAGCAAAAGCCCUGUCCUCCCUCCAAGUCAGUGAGCUGUUUGUGAAAUACAGUUCUAGGUCGUUGUUAUCUUCUUUGUAGCCAGUGAUCAGUCUACUAUGUAAUCCUAGGUGGGGUGUGAGUGCUGCUGCACUAGUGAUCUAUUCCCCAUUUUUCUCUUUUUAAUAUAUUGAUGCACAACUCUCCUACAUAUUCAAGAAAAAACCACCGUAACCGAGUAACCUCUGUAGUCACAAGAGCCAUAGCACGCAACUUAGCCUCUGCACUCGAACGAGAACUGCUAUGUGUUUAUUAGUCUUUCAAGCAAUGAGGGAACCACCAAGAAAAAUAGAAUAGAAAGAAAGAGAUCGACAAUCAAAGGAAUCACUAGCCUAGUAGCAUCACAAUAAGCCUAGAGUUGAAAAGAGCUAGAGUGUAAAAAGAGCAGGUGUCUAGAUAUAGUCCAACGAGGAGAUUGUAAGACAUGAAACAAGUGACUAUAGUGGAGCUGAGUGGGAGCGAAAAUAAUCUGGCUCAGAAUAUGUACAUAAUACGAAAUGAUAGGAUGAGUGACACCAAUGUAAACAAGACUCCCUACAAUGUGUCGAUAAUGAGUAGUGUCGGUACCUCAAGAUUGGGGUACCCACUGCUACUGAAUCAAGGCGGACCCUCCGGAACUACCCUUAGUCACCAUGCUAAUGGUGGUCCGUCCUAGCCUAGUGGUUGGGUGUGCCUAGUAAGGCCACUGGCCUCAGGUGAAGGCAAGCACCUAUAAUCAGCACUCUGGAACCCCAGUGGAGGGGUCCGGGUUUGCCACGUGUCUUGAAGACGAGGGCUCUCAGCACCUAUGCCAGGGGGCUGGACCCCCGGGAAUGGCUUUUGGUCCUCAUGGCGGGCCACCCGGACCUCUGGCCUAAGGGGGUCCGAUGCUGCCACGUGCUGGCCAACACUAGAGAAGACGGAACCUCCCUCGAGCACCAUCCGACCCCCAGCCAAGGGUGGUCCGGAGUUGUCACGAGGAAGGGCGGUCCCAGUCACUACUCACACAAGGCGAGGCCUAGUGCUGCCACGUGUUCUACGACACGUGACGUAAGCCAUCAGGGAAAGCCUGACGUCAGCCUCUAAAUGUAAAGCGCCUCUGCAUUAACUGCGGACGAGAUGUAUACCUGCCCGCCCUGGUGGCAGGCGGUGCAUCCGCAGUACACAGGCCGCACAGUAACUCGCGCGUCACUGAGGCGAGACCAUUGACUCCCUGCGCUGCUUGGGCUGCUUUCAUUACGACUCCCACUGUAGCCCGCGCAUUACCGAGGCGAAGGGAAACAGGCAGAGAAGACAGGAUGACGCCGCCUGAGCACCCCUACAUGCGGUAGCGCAUCAGUCUACGCCACAACCUACACCUGUGCCCUGCUCCGAUUAGACGGGUAGGAGAUCUACACGAAGACCAAGAGAACAUAUUCGUUCUCCAUGAACCACCGCUCCACUUACUCCAUAUCUAGUAAUAGAUUACUGGCCCACUUGUCGGAGCUUGGUCACCAUGUAAGUACCUCCCUUGGGCUAUAAAAGGGAGGGCACACACACGAUAGAGGACAAACUGAGACUGGGACGGAGACGGACGAGGUGACUCCCCCGGAGACCCUCGGAUAUAGAGACUCCGAUGCAAUACAACUCACAAUGAAUGUAGGGUAUUACGCUCCAGCGGCCCGAACCACUCUAACCCUUGUGUUCUCGUGUUCUUCCAGCUAAUCAGACAAAUCCCUAGGCUCCCCCCUAGUUCACAGGAUUAGGCAGGUGCACUCUGCCACCCCUCUGGAGUUUUCUCUCCGACAAGUAGGAUCCACAAGAGGCUGGCCAUUCAUGGUACGAAGGUGGACAUUGAGUUCUAUAGGGGCCUCAACUUUAUGUUGAUCAGUAAGAGAAGUUCGAUCAAGAAGAUCAUGAAUGUAUUUCUCUUGAGACACAUAAAAACCCUUAGAUGAAGAGGAAGACUCUAUCCCAAGAAAAUAACGAAGAGGACCAAGAUCAGACAUGAGAAACUGCUUAGUAAAACGUGCUACCAUGCUAUGAAUUGCACUAUAUUCAAUAUAAGGGUACUAGGUCCAAAUACAUAGAGACCUUGUACAACAAGGACUCUCUAUAUAUGAGACCUAAUACAACAAAGACAUGUAUAGACAGCUAACAUGUUAUAGCAUCUAGUUGACUGUAGUGCUAUGUUGUGAUAAGACUUCUUGAGAAAAUACUUAGGUAUUAUUGUUAGUUAAAGUGGGCAGGGUUUGGGGGUUUCUCGGUCGGGACCGUUCGCUGUAUCCAUGGAAAGCCGUGAGGGUGGUCUUACCCUCCCCGAUCGAGAUUUUUUAUUAUUGUUAGUCAAAGUGGACUAUUCUCAUUCUGAGGACAGUGGACUCACAGAUAUUUCAAAGCAGAUAGUUGGCCUAUGGUAUUGCUUAAUGUACCUUGCAGAUUCAUGCCUGUUAAUCUCCUGCAAACACAAGGUUUCAUCAGAGCAUUGAUUAUUUGUUAAGAGAAGAAGGUUUAUUCAGUACUCACAUUUCUGUCACCCGACCAUUGGAACAGGAAAUUCCAACCCAGGAGGUGCAGGGAUCAGUUGAACCUGUCCAGCUUGGUGGUUCGUUUUGCCAAUUAUUCAUCAAAGCCUGAAGUGCAGCAACUGUAGAAAUCAUUAAGCUAACAUUAGUUGAUCAUUUCUGCAUUAAUAACUCUAGUAGUUGAUUAGUUCUUAGGAUCGUAAAUUCAUGUGAGAGGAAUGUAGGCAAGUACCAUUCCAAGGAAUUGAAAGAGAGCUAAGCCUAAGGAAGAGAAUAGCAAGAAAAAAAGGAAAUGUUCAGUGUUAAGCUUAAUGUUUUGUCACGAGGACACACUUCAUGCAUAAUUGUUACGUUCUAAAUUUGAUCCAUUUGGUCUUGUGGGUUUGAUUACAUUACAGUUCUGCACAACCUUGACUAAUGAACUGGUGCAAAAACAUUAACUCAAAGGUAACACAAACUGACCUGCGCCGAAAAAAUCUUCUUGUUUUGUUGAAUAGAAAUAAUUCUAAGGAGUUCAAGACAGCCAAAUUUAAAAUGAAUAAACUUUGAUGUAAGUGAAUCAGUUUAAAUGGUUUUUAUCUGGUGGUAACUAAUGUUCAUUGUAAUCAAAACAUUCUCACAAUAUCGUCCUGGUAGAACUAAUCUAGCUGAACAUUUUUUCAGGUCAACAGGCACUCUGGAUAAUUCUACCCUAAACAGAUGGCAGCAUGCAUCCUAUAUCCUCGUCAAAUGCAAUAUAUCAAGGCUUACCAUCUUGGGGGUU
rnacentral:lncRNA from 1 species